rnacentral:rRNA from 1 species
GACGAACGCUGGCGGCGUGCUUAACACAUGCAAGUCGAACGGAAAGGCCUGCUUUCCCUUGUGGCUUGCGGGUACUCGAGUGUCGAACGGGGGAGUAACACGUGAGUGAUCUGCCCCCAACUUGGGUAUAAGCCUGGGAAACUGGGUCUAAUUCCCGCUAGGUCGGCAGGGUGGUGCCUGUGGUGGAAAACGGUUUUCGAGUGGUGGGGGAUGAGCUCGCGGCCUAUCAGCUUGUUGGUGGGGUAAUGGCCUACCAAGGCGGCGACGGGUAGGCGGCCUGAGAGGGUGGACGGCCACAUUGGGACUGAGAUACGGCGCAGACUACUACGGGAGGCAGCAGUGGGGAAUCAUGAACAAUGGGCGGAAGCCUGAUGCAGAGAGGCUGAGUGGGGGAUGCCGGGCGUGGGGUUGUAACCUUCUUUUGACCGAGAGGAAGCAGCCUGGUUGGAAGGGUGGUGACGGUAGUGGUAGAAGAAGCACCGGCUAACUACGUG